rnacentral:lncRNA from 1 species
CCACCCCAAGCCUCAACCCUCAACCCUCAAAAAAACACCUGUUAGCCUCCCAGAUACCUCUGGCCACAGACACGCCGCGAAACGCUGCUGGGAGCUGUCGAGGGCCUGCAGGGACCCACAACAAAGCGGAGACGUCCGGGAGGCACCUCGGGAUUCGCCCCAGGGUGGGGAUGGGGGGGCUCCCCACCCAGCGGGGUCCCCUCUGCCGUUCUCCCCCUCUCCGAGUCCCGAGAGGGGACGGGGCUUCCCUUCGGCUUCGGAGCCCCGCCGGACCCCACCCGGGGCCCCGGGGGACGCCCGCUCGCACGCGGAGCGCUGGGGAAGCAGGGGGCGCGGCCGGCCGCCCCGGGGUCCCGGGGCCGCACGGGGCGUCGGGCCGAGCUCCCCGGGCGGCCCCGGGGCUCCUGGCGGCGGGGCCGGGCGCGGGGAGGGGCGGCUCUUACCCGGAGGCUGCGGCGCAGGAGGCGGCGGGCGGCCCGGCGGCCGCUGGAGUCCGUUAGGCGCUGCCGGGCUCCGCGCGCGGGGCUGCAGGGAGGCGCUCGCGUUGCAGACCCAGGCGCCUCGGAACCGCGGGCUGCAGGCGCCCGAGCAGGCCGGGCGCGGCGGCGGGAGGGCGGGAGCCGUGGGCGCCGGCGGGGGCCUCGGCGCCCCGGGCUCCUUCCGGGCUCUCCCGCCCGCCGGGCUCCCCGCCGGCUCCGGAGGCGGCCGCGGCGCGGCCCGAGCCGGGCGGCGGUGGGGCCCCGCGGGGCGCCGGGCGGGAGCCGAGGCCGCCGCGGACCCCGCAGCCCCGCAGCCGGCGACUGGAUCCCACCUCUGCAGAGACAAAGGAGCUGCUCCAGAGAACACCAGCUGAAAGUAAAUGUCCUUGAGGGCCCCAGCAUUCUCCUCAUCAUUAAUGCACGGGCAUGAUCAUCCAGGCUUCAGAACCUGCCUGGAAGAGAUGCCGGAAGAAGCAUCAAACACCAGGGAAGCAGAGGACACAAGCUUGGAUGUGAAAUAGCAACACCUUAUGCACUGAAGAAUAAUAAAACAAUGUUUUUAAUUACA